AAUCAACGCUGGCGGCGUGCCUAACACAUGCAAGUCGAACGAGAAAGUCCCGGCAACGGGGCGAGUAAAGUGGCAGACGGGUGAGUAACACGUGAAUAAUCUUCCCUCGAGUGGGGAAUAACUCCGCGAAAGCGGGGCUAAUACCGCAUAACAUCGCCGGGUUGCAUGACCUGGCGAUCAAGGGCUUCGGUCGCUUGAGGAGGAGUUCGCGCCUGAUUAGCUAGUUGGUGAGGUAACGGCCCACCAAGGCAACGAUCAGUAGCCGGCCUGAGAGGGCGUACGGCCACACUGGAACUGAGACACGGUCCAGACUCCUACGGGUGGCUG
rnacentral:rRNA from 1 species